rnacentral:rRNA from 1 species
CUACGGGAGGCUCCAGUGGGGAAUAUUGCACAAUGGAGGGAACUCUGAUGCAGCAACGCCGCGUGGAGGAUGACGCAUUUCGGUGUGUAAACUCCUUUUAUAUAGGAAGAUAAUGACGGUACUAUAUGAAUAAGCACCGGCUAACUCCGUGCCAGCAGCCGCGGUAAUACGGAGGGUGCAAGCGUUACUCGGAAUCACUGGGCGUAAAGCGCAUGCAGGCGGUUAAAUAAGUUGGAAGUGAAAUCCUAUGGCUCAACCAUAGAACUGCUUCCAAAACUGUUUAACUAGAGUCUGGGAGGGGAAGAUGGAAUUAGUAGUGUAGGGGUAAAAUCCGUAGAGAUUACUAGGAAUACCAAAAGCGAAGGCGAUCUUCUGGAACAGUACUGACGCUGAGAUGCGAAAGCGUGGGGAGCAAACAGGAUUAGAUACCCGUGUAGUC